GAUGAACGCUGGCGGCGUGCCUAAUACAUGCAAGUCGAGCGAAUGGAUUAAGAGCUUGCUCUUAUGAAGUUAGCGGCGGACGGGUGAGUAACACGUGGGUAACCUGCCCAUAAGACUGAGAUAACUCCGGGAAACCGGGGCUAAUACCGGAUAACAUUUUGAACCGCAUGGUUCGAAAUUGAAAGGCGGCUUCGGCUGUCACUUAUGGAUGGACCCGGGUCGCAUUAGCUAGUUGGUGAGGUAACGGCUCACCAAGGCAACGAUGCGUAGCCGACCUGGGGGGGUGAUCGGCCACACUGGGACUGGGACACGGCCCAGACUCCUACGGGAGGCAGCAGUAGGGAAUCUUCCGCAAUGGACGAAAGUCUGACGGAGCAACGCCGCGUGAGUGAUGAAGGCUUUCGGGUCGUAAAACUCUGUUGUUAGGGAAGAACAAGUGCUAGUUGAAUAAGCUGGCACCUUGACGGUACCUAACCAGAAAGCCACGGCUAACUACGUGCCAGCAGCCGCAGUAA
rnacentral:rRNA from 1 species